UGGAACACUUUUGGCAAAGUUUAGGUACUAGCUGAGUUAAGUGUCUCAAUAAAAAUAUGGGAUUAAGUUUAAGGGUCCACAUUUGUAUUUGGCCAAAUGAAAAAGCAAAAUCAAAUUCAGGACAUUUCUCAGGACGUCGUUUCUUCAUAUGGUUUCUUCAAUUUUCAAGAGUUUCUGGUUUCUUGUUCAGCACUCUUUGAGCUAAAAAUUUCAGAAGUAAAUUGUUCAGUAAAUUAUUCAGCUUUUCACCGACUCUCGGAUUCCGGUAAUGAGCGAAGGAGAGGACGCGGUGCGACGCCGCAACGCGGUGGCAGAAUACCGGAGAAAGCUUCUCCAGCACAAAGAACUCGAAUCCAGAAUCCGAACCGUCAGGGAGAAUUUAAGAGCAUCAAAGAAAGAAUACAACAAAACAGAGGAUGAUUUGAAGUCGCUUCAGAGCGUUGGACAGAUUAUCGGCGAAGUUCUUCGCCCUCUCGACCAUGAACGAAGUAACUUACUAUCUUUCUACAAGCUUCUUCUUAUUAUUACUAUUAACUUUCAGAUUUUUCAAUAAAACCUAUUGAUGAAUUAUGAUAAAUUCAUAUAGCUGAUCUCGACUAUCUUAAGAUUAAGAUGUGGUUGAUUGGUUGAUUUAUAAUAGUUUUGAUGCAUUCACUCAUUGCCUUUCCUUAUUGGUGAAAAUUGAAUUUUGAAUAUUCAGGUGUUGCUGAAUAGUUAAAGUAUCAAGAUAAGAAUACCCAAGCUUUCUGAAUAGUUAAAUAAUGUUUCAACUUUGGGUAUUUCUAGUUUGUGCAGAUCAAGUGGGCGUUUGGACAUAAGAAUUGUAAAAUUCC